GGGACAGCGAAAGCGGCCUCCCGACGCCAUGGUUGUGCCUCCCCUCGUCGGCAGGUAGGGGUUGGAGGCCUGCUCUUGCCAAGCAGCACAAGGAGAGCCAGUGCUGCUCGGGAAGCAGAGCUUUCUGUGGGAAGAAACCUACCUGGAAAAUGUCGCUGGCGCAUUUCCGACAGAGGUUGUGCUGGCAGGGCAGGAUGACCACAGGCUUGCAGGCUCCAGGAUCUUGCCUUUCCAAGGUGUGAAGCACAUGUGGUUGCUGGAGAAGACAAUAGGAGCGAUGGCUGCAUCGGAGCUCAGACACUUCAGGGUGUAAAUAUGUCACCACCUUGAAAAUCAGUUUAAAAAAAUUGCCUGCAUAUAUCUGUGCUUAAGUUUCUUCCGGUAUGAUUUUUUUUUUAGGAGCUGUAACAUAAGAAUCCAACACGACUAUUCAAGCCAUUAACUCCACAGCGACUUAAAUAUGCAGCAAAAACAUUAUUUGAAUUUCCUGACGAGAAAGAGACAGAAGAAAUACAGUAUGAAAAGCUUCCAUUUGUACUGCUAGAGAAUAGGUGCUAAUUGUAUAUACUCUCUCUCUGCAUAGUUUAAUUCAAAUAUAUUUUAGUUUUGGGCGCUGCUGUGUUUAUAUCUGUUUAUUAGACACUGAUAUCCCUCUCAGCUUGGCACUUGUUCCAGAGUUAUUUUUAAAAUGACAAUUUCCCAGAUAAUUUGUGGCAUGUGAUGCCUGAUCUUAAGGGAAAGCCAUCUGUGCUUCUACUUGCCAAUAAUUUAUCACACAACUGUACAAGCAAUAAAUAUCUCAUCCUCAAAUUUAAGCCAAAGUCCCUGUGUGUACUGUAUAAAAUCACUGUGCCACUGUACUGUACAUGUAAUCAGAAUGUUGUCUUCUCUUUUAAUCAAUAACUAUAAUACUUCCUCUGUUAAGUGUCUUGUAGAAAGCUCUCAUGUUUAUUCCAUGUCAUGACUGUAUAGGGCUUGCAUCUGAAAUAUGCUAUAGAGUGGCUGAGCGAGUCCCCUACGCGUCCAGGGGCAGAGCCCGACUCCAAAGCAGGGCCCUUUAUCUGCUUGCAACACCAGUCUGGAAACUGCACUUCAGGGAAAUAUAAAAGUGAAGCUUUUCAUUGAUUUCCACAUGAAAAUGAGUACUAUUCUCUGCAUGCAAUGGCAAUGAAUCAUAUUAAA